rnacentral:misc_RNA from 1 species
AACUGAUACUACCUGCGGGAACCUGCGGAGGGAUCAUUACCGAGUGAGGGCCCUUUGGGUCCAACCUCCCACCCGUGUUUAUCGUACCUUGUUGCUUCGGCGGGCCCGCCAGCCCUGGCCGCCGGGGGCUUCUUGCCCCGGGCCCGCGCCCGCCGAGGACACCAUUGAACGCUGUCUGAAGUAUGCAGUCUGAGUGAUUAGAAAAAUUAGUUAAAACUUUCAACAAUGGAUCUCUAGAUC